rnacentral:rRNA from 1 species
GACGAACCGUGCGAACGUUGUUCGGGAUCACUAGGCUUAAAGGGUGCGUAGGCGGGUUGUCCAGUCUGGGGUGAAAUCCCACGGCUCAACCGUGGAACUGCCUCAGAUACUGACGACCUCGAGGGAGGUAGGGGCGAGCGGAACUGUGGGUGGAGCGGUGAAAUGCGUUGAUAUCCACAGGAACUCCGGUGGCGAAGGCGGCUCGCUGGACCUCUACCGACGCUGAGGCACGAAAGCUAGGGGAGCACACGGG